rnacentral:rRNA from 1 species
GAUGAACGCGGGCGGCGUGCCUAAUACAUGCAAGUCGAGCGAACAGACGAGGAGCUUGCGCCUCUGACGUUAGCGGCGGACGGGUGAGUAACACGUGGAUAACCUACCUAUAAGACUGGGAUAACUUCGAGAAACCGGAGCUAAUACCGGAUAAGAUAUUGAACCGCAUGGGUCAAGAGUGAAAGACGGUUUUGCGGUCACGUAUAGAUGGAUCAGCGCCGCAUUAGCUAGUUGGUAAGGGAACGGCUUUCCAAGGCAACGAUGCGUAGCCGCGCGGAAAGGGUGCUCGGCCCCCCUGGAACUGGGCCUCGGCCCAGACCCCUACGGGAGGCUGCAGCCGGGAACCUUGCGCCAUGCGCGCAGACCUGCCGCAGCCCCGCCGAGUGCGUGAUGAAGGUCUUCGGCUCGCAACACUCUCUUAUUCGUGACGAACCAAUGUGUCCGUGCCUAUGCACGUCUUGCCGGUACCUAGUCAGAAAGCUACGGCUAACUACGUG